rnacentral:lncRNA from 1 species
UUUACUGUUUGGUUAUUCAAGUUUGUCCCUAUUGCUGUCUAGAGGUUUUGAAUUCUUGCUUUUCGCCGGAAAUUUUUCCGGCAACUCCUGCUCUUUUCUUUCUAUUCUCUCCUCUAUUUUUUUGUGGGUGUGUGUGGGUGUGUUCCGUUUUCUUGGACAGGUGACUAUUUUACCGGCGAGGAUUUCCGGCAAGCCAUAGUACUCCCGGUGACUCCCGUUCAGACUCGCGGCAGGACACAAUAGAACUACA